rnacentral:rRNA from 1 species
CCUACGGGUGGCUGCAGUGAGGAAUAUUGGUCAAUGGACGAGAGUCUGAACCAGCCAAGUAGCGUGAAGGAUGACUGCCCUAUGGGUUGUAAACUUCUUUUAUAUGGGAAUAAAACGUUCCACGUGUGGGAUUUUGUAUGUACCAUAUGAAUAAGGAUCGGCUAACUCCGUGCCAGCAGCCGCGGUAAUACGGAGGAGCCGAGCGUUAUCCGGAUUUAUUGGGUUUAAAGGGAGCGUAGGUGGAUUGUUAAGUCAGUUGUGAAAGUUUGCGGCUCAACCGUAAAAUUGCAGUUGAAACUGGCAGUCUUGAGUACAGUAGAGGUGUGCGGAAUUCGUGGUGUAGCGGUGAAAUGCUUAGAUAUCACGAAGAACUCCGAUUGCGAAGGCAGUUCACUGGACUGCAACUGACACUGAGGCUCGAAAGUGUGGGUAUCAAACAGGAUUAGAUACCCCAGUAGUC